CAAAAACCGUCGUGAAAAUUGCGCCUUCUUCCCCGAUCGCGUAUACUUUUUUCGUUGACGUAAUACAGUGUGCUUGCGGCCACCAACCGUAAAACACCGAGCAGAAAACCUCGCCGCGGCGGGGUUUUUU
rnacentral:sRNA from 1 species